rnacentral:rRNA from 1 species
UACGUAGGUGGCAAGCGUUGUCCGGAUUUACUGGGCGUAAAGAGCGCGCAGGCGGUCGUUCAAGUCGCGUGUGAAAGCCCCCGGCUCAACUGGGGAGGGUCACGCGAUACUGAUCGACUCGAAGGCAGGAGAGGGUAGUGGAAUUCCCGGUGUAGUGGUGAAAUGCGUAGAUAUCGGGAGGAACACCAGUGGCGAAGGCGGCAUCCUGGACCAACACUGACGCUGAGGAGCGAAAGCCAGGGGAGCAAACGGG